rnacentral:rRNA from 1 species
CACGUAGGGCGCAAGCGUUGUCCGGAAUUAUUGGGCGUAAAGAGCUCGUAGGCGGUCUGUUGCGUCUGCUGUGAAAACUCGGGGCUUAACCCCGAGCCUGCAGUGGAUACGGGCAGACUAGAGGUAGGUAGGGGAGAAUGGAAUUCCCGGUGUAGCGGUGAAAUGCGCAGAUAUCGGGAGGAACACCGGUGGCGAAGGCGGUUCUCUGGGCCGUACCUGACGCUGAGGAGCGAAAGCGUGGGGAGCGAACAGG